UCCUGGUUAGCUCAGUUGGUAAAGCGCUCCACUGGAAAUGGAGAGGUUCUUGGUUCGGUACCAGGACCAGGCG
rfam:Ixodes scapularis strain Wikel colony gcontig_1108379820398, whole genome shotgun sequence.